rnacentral:rRNA from 1 species
GAUGAACGCUGGCGGCGUGCCUAAUACAUGCAAGUCGAGCGGACGGACGAGAAGCUUGCUUCUCUGAUGUAAGCGGCGGACGGGUGAGUGACGCGUGGAUAACCAAACUAUAAGAACGGGCUAACUUCGAGAAGCCGGCGCUAAUACAGGAUGAUAUUUUGCACCGCAUGGUUCAAAAGUGAAAGACGGUCUUGCUAUAGCUUAUACAUGAGUCCACGCUGCAUUAGCUAGUUGGCAAGGUAAUGGCUUACCAAGGCAACGAUGCAAAGACGACCUGACAGGGUGAUUGGCCACCCUGGAACUGAGACACGGCCCAGACUCCGGCGGGAGGCAGCAGUAGGGAAUCUUCCGCAAUGGGCGAGAGCCGGACGGAGCAACGCCGCGUGAGUGAUGAAGGUGUUCGGAUCGUAAAACGCUGUUAUUAGUGAAGAACAAAUGUGUAAGUAACUGUGCACAUCUUGACGGUACCUAAUCAGAAAGCCACGGCUAACUACGUG